GUCUUACCAUCUUUGUUGUCUUCUGUGUUAAAAUGUGAAGUGAUGACUCAGAUGCAUACUUUACAAACAAUAAACAAAGUAGUUAAGUUUGUGGCUUGCCUGAGAAUAAUGUUAUGAAAAGCUUUGCUGCUGAUAAGGAAAGGGCUAACAAUGUUGCAAAGAUCAAAGUAGUGGUGCGAAAGAGACCACUAAACAAAAAAGAAUUGAUGAAGAAUGAGGAAGACAUAAUAGAAACUCUACCCAACUCAUUAAUAGUUAUGAGACAAAGCUUAAGGGAGAUCAAAGUUCUCCAGGUAUAGUUCCGUUGGCAAUAAAGGAUGUUUUUAGCAUUAUUCAAGAUGUAAGUGCUUUCAAUUUCACCUUUUCAUGAAAUCUGUACCCA